rnacentral:misc_RNA from 1 species
GGAGGGAUCAUUAUAGAGCCUUUUUAGACUCCAAACCAGUGUGAAAAUACCUUCUGAAAGUGUUGUCUCGGCGGGUUGUCGUGCUGGAAAUCCCCUGUGGAGUCCAGUAUCGGCGUGCUCGGCCUGGCCAGCUAGGCGCCCGCCGGCAGCACCAAACUCUCUCUCUGUUAGCGGGACCUUACCAUCCCAUCUGAGUGAUACUACAAGAAAACAAGCAAAACUUUCAACAACGGAUCUCUUGGUUCUGGCAUCGAUGAAGAACGCAGCGAAAUGCGAUAAGUAAUGUGAAUUGCAGAAUUCAGUGAAUCAUCGAAUCUUUGAACGCACAUUGCACCCAGUGGUAUUCCGCUGGGUAUGCCUGUUCGAGCGUCAUUUCAGCCCUCAGGCCGCCUUCCCUUCGGGUGGGUAGGGCCUGGUGUUGGCGGUCUGCGGCCCAGCCGCAGUCGCCCAAAUGGAUCUGCGUGCGCGCUGUCGUGCUCUUUGCGUAGUGGUUUUCCAAAAAAAAUCUCGCACCGAGCCGCGGCGUCUGCAUUGCCUCGCAACCAUCUAUUUUCAAGAAGCUUGACCUCGAAUCAGGUAGGGUUACCCGCUGAACUUAAGCAUAUCAAUAAGCGGAGGAAAAGAAACCAACAGGGAUUGCCCUAGUAACGGCGAGUGAAGCGGCAACAGCUCAAAUUUGAAAUCUGGCGUUUCCGACGUCCGAGUUGUAAUUUGCAGAGGAUGCUUUUGGCGACGUGCCUUCCGAGUUCCCUGGGACGGGACGCCACAGAGGGUGAGAGCCCCGUACGGUCUGGCGCCGAGCCGCUGUAAAGCUCCUUCGACGAGUCGAGUAGUUUGGGAAUGCUGCUCUAAAUGGGAGGUAAACUCCUUCUAAAGCUAAAUAUUGGCCAGAGACCGAUAGCGCACAAGUAGAGUGAUCGAAAGAUGAAAAGCACUUUGAAAAGAGAGUUAAACAGCACGUGAAAUUGUUGAAAGGGAAGCGCUUAUGACCAGACUUGGGCUUGGUGGUUCAGCCGUCCUUCUGGGCGGUGCACUCCGCCGGUUCAGGCCAGCAUCAGUUGCCGGUUGGGGAGAAAUGUGGUGGGAACGUGGCUCCUCGGAGUGUUAUAGCCCACCACUAUGCCCUCCUGGCGACUGAGGUUAGCGUUCUUCACGGAUGCUGGCGUAAUGGUUAUCAGCGACCCGUCUUGAAACACGGACCAAGGAGUCGUCCUGUCAUGCGAGUGUUCGGGUGCCAAACCCCUACGCGUAAUGAAAGUGAACGGAGGUGAGAGCUUCGGCGCAUCAUCGACCGAUCCUGAUGUCCUCGGAUGGAUUUGAGUAAGAGCAUGGCGGGCCGGACCCGAAAGAAGGUGAACUAUGCUUGGAUAGGGCAAAGCCAGAGGAAACUCUGGUGGAGGCUCGCAGCGGUUCUGACGUGCAAAUCGAUCGUCAAAUCUGAGCAUGGGGGCGAAAGACUAAUCGAACCUUCUAGUAGCUGGUUUCCAC